GGUGAGAGGGAGAACCUGCCGCCGCUCGCCGCCUCUUUGUCUGCUCCGGGACUGGGAACAAAGGGGGGAACUCUGAUGAACUCUCCUCCCCUCGCCCCGGACGCCCGGGUAUCUCCCUCUCACAACUUUGCCGCCACGACUUUCUGCGCUGUCAGGCCACACGAAAGUGUCCGCGCGCCUCUCGGACUGCAACAGGGGAACGUCUCUGAAAAUUGUGACCAAGUGGGAGGAAGGUGUAAUUAUUAUUAUCAGCAUCUAGAAAGCAUCACGCAGUGCAUUGCUCCUUCGGGACCUUCCUAUCAGUGAACGUUAUGGAAGUACCAACACAACGUCAGGCCAAUCCUGGAGGAAAAGUUAUCACACUUCUUUGUUUGGAGUUACUUAAAAGUUAAAAUGUUGGAAUUUCUAGGAUGCCUUCCCUAUGUGGAUUACUGCAACGUGAUCACUGGGAAUUCUCCACCUGAAAGCACUCUCAGGAGCCUACAGAAGCAUUGACACCCAGCAUGUUCAGGUGUGAAUCAUGGUGACACAGUGAAAGGCGGUGAUUUACUGCUUUGGGGGGCAUGCGUAUGUAUGAUUAAGGGAUGUAAGUGCAGGACUCCAAGAUUUACUUCCUUCCUGCUCCAGCGGGGAUCGCCGAGGAGAGUGAGUAAUGGGAUAAUUUAUAACACCGCAGGCCCUUCGUCAAGAGACCUCUAGUCAAAACAGGAAGAUAAAACUCAGAUUUCAACUGGGAGCAUACAACUUUUGAUCCUCUCUGGACACUUCUUAUUUGCAAGCAGUAGAGUCUUCAGAAUUUUUGUUUUACUUUCUCAAGGAGAGUUCCAUUAAAAAGGUACUAUCAUCUGGUGGCAUUAUUCCAUGUUUAUAUUCCAUGGAGAUCUAGAUCUUGAUUUGGAAGUUUAUGACAAAAUGAUCAGCAUCUGACUUGACAUCAAUAUUACCAGUGAAGGUGUCUUUGUUUGUGAACAUAUUGGGCUUGUUGCUCUCUUUGUAAAUCUGUAGUUACUGCUCUGGAAAAGUCUAACUUGAUGUCCUCUCAGAAGUAUUCCCUCUUUUCCAUCAUCAGACCAUCCCGGUGUCCUCCCUGAACAUCCUUCUCAACUGCUCCUGAUGCGUGCAUAGCUGUUCUCUGCUGUCCAUUCCAUCAGAUGGCCUCAAAGCUAACAGACAGAAAAAGAAAAUAGCUAAUGCCUUGCAGGUGUGUGGUGUGUAUGUGUAAGAGAAGCCAGUAAUUACCCCUUGCUGAUGGAGCUGACCAAACACAGUCUUUCCCAUGGCAACUGAAAACAUAAAAAAUAAAAUUUAAAAAAUUGGAGGUUACAUAAUUGCCGUCCCUGGAGGAGGAGGAAUGUGGAGAUCACGGAGUUUCUUGUGGCUUUGGUUGAAGGUGUUGGUGAAGAUACAGAGGUCCUGCUGAGGAGCUGAACAGGAUGCUGUUGCUUGCUUUGAAGUGAGGACAUCGAAGAUUUGUUCAGGACCAGGUAGCUGAUGAGAGAGAGAGAAAGAGAGAGAAGAAAGAGCCCAACUGUCAGCCCAGGUCCUCCUCCUCCUUGCUCAGGAGCCACCACACAUGCAACUCUAUGGGGCCUCACUUUGUUUCUCUCUGGAACUCUCUACUCUCUUUGCAGAUUAUUUGUUAGGACCUCUUACACAAUUUUCUUUUUAAUUUAAGGCCAUGUUGCCGUGAAGCUUUGUCAUGAUGUAUUUAAAUAAAAUAAUCUUUUGUUAUCUAG